rnacentral:lncRNA from 1 species
AGUCAUAUCCAACCCUCCACUUUCUGGGUAGGAAAGGGCCAAAGCAGGAGAAUCUCAUGGAGCAGGUGGAUGACAGAGCCAAGAAUCCUGACUCCAGCUGUUUGGCAGAACAUUAAUCUUCUGGAGAGUUGCGUGGCUAGAAUAUGGAGCUUUUGCCUUCCCCAAAAAUCCCUCUGAAUAUAGCGUUAUUUGGGGUAGUACUGGCUCCCUGAGAAUCUGAGGGCUAUCCUCCAGCCAGUUCUGACCAGGCCUUGUGUGAGCUGCAGUGUUUAGGCUGCCACACGAGGGCGCUAUCAUUCUUCCUUUGCCUUGGGUCAGACCAGGACAGGCUUCACUCCAUCAGGAGUCCCAGAGUUUGGAGAAUACAGAGGGUCAUCUCCUUUUCUCAGGAUAGCUAAAAGCAAAACAGAUAUGGUUUAACAGAGGCCUCAAGCUAGAAAGCAGGAGUUCUUUUAUGGGGGUUUGCUAGUAACCCUUUAGGUGCUUAGCACUCAAAGUAUGGCAUCACUUGUUAUAAAAGAAUAUUGGACUGACUCCAGAUCUUGGGUAAGUGCCCACACCAGUGCUUCUCAAACUCAGCCGGCGUUCCUGCUAAAAGGCAGAUUCUGACUGGGUAGGUCAAAAUAGGGCUCGAGAGUCUACAGAUCUAAGAAGCUCCCAGUGAUGCUGAUCUUUGACCGUAUUUUGACUUCAAAAGAACCUUGAAGGAGCCUCAGUUUCUUCAUCUGUAAGAUCAAGAUCACACCAAUUCUGUCCAUCACGUGAGAUGAUGGAUGCGGAAGCGAUCCAAGACAAACAAGAAGGAUAAAGGAGAUGCAGUCACCAACCUCCGUGAUCCAGACCAAGCCUCACCUCGAGAGCCAAGCGUAUGACCUUUGCCUUAUUUUUAAUGCUGAGAUCUCUCCAGGAGGAGCUUAGCCCUUAUUACCCUGACCUGCAGUGUAUGUGGAAGCGUGUUUUCCAACGGAGCCUGUGCAAGAGAACACCCACUUCUUCCUUUUGAAUAUUUAUUCCCCAUCCGACAUAAAUGUCCCUGCUUUCCUUUGUUCGGGGACGCCACGACUCUGGAAAUGAUUCCGCUUGGUCUCCUAUUUGCCGCAAAUACACUUCACUUUGUGAGACAACUACUUCUGGUGGAGAGUUGGAUUGAACUGGCCAGGAGGGAACCCACUUUGGUUUCGGUAACACUUCUUCUGUGGGCAGUUGUGUGAGGAGGCUCGUGAGCAGAGAUGACUGCGCAGCUGGCUUCCUGGAGUCCAUGCUGUGGGGUCCCAGAGGACCAGGUAUAACCCUACAUGCAAAUCACGCCCAAAUGUGCAAGAACUCACCUUCCUUCUCGGGCUGUAUAAAUGUGCCAAGUGUCAGGCUG